GAUGAAGAACGUAGCGAAAUGCGAUAAGUAAUGCGAAUUGCAGAAUUCCAGUGAGUCAUCGAAUCUUUGAACGCACAUUGCGCCCUUUGGUAUUCCGAAGGGCAUGCCUGUUCGAGCGUCAUUAUCACCCCUCAAGCCCUCGGCUUGGUGUUGGACGGUUUGGUGGAGGCCCCCUCGGGGGCUCCUGCCCCUCCCAAAGACAAUGACGGCGGCCUCGUUGGACCCCCGGUACACUGAGUUCUUCACGGGACACGUAUCGGACACAUGGGUUUACGGGACACGGUCUGCCUCCCCUCAGGGAGAAUCUUUCUAAGGUUGGCCUCGGAUCAGGUAGGGAUACCCGCUGAACUUAAGCAUAUCAAUAAGCGGAGGA
rnacentral:misc_RNA from 1 species